AUAAAUUUAUUAGAUUAAUAUCAAUCAUAUUAAAUGGCGAAAAUUUUCCAGACAAGCCAACAAAUUACAAGCGACGUAUCGGAAAUUUUGGAGCAGCCGCAACCGCAAGCGGAAACACGCCGUUAGUCCCAGUUUCUACACGUCAGCUGUUGCCUCUUACACAAGACUCCACCAAGAUUUACUGUGGAGGGCAGAAUCGUAUCCAGCGAGGGCGCUUCACGGGGAACCACCAUCGCGCCGACUCCGAAAAGUCUGCAAAUUCAACGUCGAACUACGACCUAUGGAAGGGAUGUCAUCGAUCGCACGUACACAAGGUCUAUGGUCUGUAAGUAUAGCAAUCCCUUAUUUUCUAUUCUUUAGAACAGGACGAGUGGUACUCUUAUGAGUGGAAAAUUCCGAACAAGCUUCGAAUCAAUGGAUUCAUGAACCACGAUUUUUAUUUUUCAGAGUACAUAUAUUGUUAAUUGUAUUGGAUAUAUUUUAUUAAAUACAUCCGACUUGACGUGUCUCCUGAUCCUUUUA